UGUCAUGUCCUGCCCCAAACUCUUUCUGCUGUGAUGUUUCUGAUCAGGUCUGAUUUUGUUUCUGGCUGUGUGUUGCAGGAUGUUCACCUCUUCUGUCUACGGUCCUGUUUUCUUUUGCAUCAGUUUGCUGAGUGCAUACUCGGUGCGUCCCACCACUGGCACAAGAAGAAGAGCCGUAAACAAGACAUCCUGAAUAAGCUUUUCUGUCAAUGUGGGUUUGUGGAAACAGAUGACCUACAAUGGAUUGCCUGCAAUAGUUGCAACAAGUGGUUCCAUCAGGGAUGCGUCAACUCUCCAGCAGUGGACAAAGAAUAGGAAUGUGUUGUGUGCAUUGUCUAAAGUGUUUUCAUUAUUUUAUUUUUAUUUCAUUGUGUUGAAAUGCCCUUUUUUAUACUUUUAUUUAUAUUUUUUGCUGUAUGUUCAAUUGAUCUUUUUAAAACUGUACAUAGUUCCAUGUUGACUUUUUAUUAAAUUAUUUGAAUUAAAUUGCUUUUGCCUAAUUAAUUACUGUAGCAUAAAUUGUUUUACUUAUUAUAUGUAUGUGCGAAUUAUAUUUGACCCAUAUUACAUGUUUGAUUUAAAUAUUAAAAUGUAAUAGAUCUGACAAUUUUUUUCAAAACACAUAACUUUAUCUGGCAUAAAAUAUUUGUAUGUGUUUUAUUUGAAACUGCAAUAAAUUGUCCUUCCACUGUUA
ensembl:lncRNA